rnacentral:piRNA from 1 species
UCAGGUCAGUGGCUGGAGCACAGGA